rnacentral:misc_RNA from 1 species
UUUCCGUAGGUGAACCUGCGGAAGGAUCAUUCAUAAUAAGUGUUUUUAUGGCACUUUAAAAUCCAUAUCCACCUUGUGUGCAACGUAUUGUGGUCUUUUUAUCAUUUCGCCGGCUACACAAUUUCUGUUCUACAGCCACGGUAGGCGGUAUAAUGAGGUGUGUUAUCUCUUAACUCUUCACCUUUAACUAAUUUGUCUGAAAGUCUAUUACGAUUAAACUUUCAAACUAAAUACAACUUUCAACAACGGAUCUCUUGGCUCUC